GACGAACGCUGGCGGCGCGCUUAACACAUGCAAGUCGAACGGAAAGGCCUGCUUUCCCUUGUGGAUUGCGGGUACUCGAGUGGCGAACGGGUGAGUAACACGUGAGUGAUCUGCCCCCAACUUGGGUAUAAGCCUGGGAAACUGGGUCUAAUUCCCGAUAGGACUGCAGGGUGGUGCCUUUGGUGGAAAACGAUUUUCUAGUGGUUGGGGAUGAGCUCGCGGCCUAUCAGCUUGUUGGUGGGGUAAUGGCCUACCAAGGCGGCGACGGGUAGCCGGCCUGAGAGGGUGGACGGCCACAUUGGGACUGAGAUACGGCCCAGACUCCUACGGGAGGCAGCAGUGGGGAAUAUUGCACAAUGGGCGGAAGCCUGAUGCAGCGACGCCGCGUGGGGGAUGACGGCCUUUGGGUUGUAAACUCCUUUCGACCGCGAGGAAGCCACCUGGUUGGAAGGGUGGUGACGGUAGUGGUAGAAGAAGCACCGGCUAACUACGUG
rnacentral:rRNA from 1 species